GGUUCUAGCGGCUGUAGGAGGUCCCCAGACCCAUUUUCCUAGAAGGCUGGUGAUGGAUCUGCUGCUCCUGCCGCCGCCGGGGCACUUGGAGCGCACCGGCGGCGCGUGAGCUGGGCUUUGCUCUCCACCGCCCUGGGCAAACCCCAGGCCAGCCCCGCCUGGCACCUUUGCCUGAGUCCCUUUCCGUUCCCGACCCAAAGCCACCAGCGUCCAGGGAGGGAGGAGGAGGUGGUCCUCAGGUGCAGCCCCGCCGAGAUGUCCGCGCAGAGCCUGCUCCACAGCGUCUUCUCUUGUUCCUCGCCCGCUUCAAGUAGCGCGGCCUCGGCCAAGGGCUUCUCCAAGAGGAAGCUGCGCCAGACCCGCAGCCUGGACCCGGCCCUGAUCGGCGGCUGCGGGGGUGACGAGGCGGGCGCGGAGGGCAGUGCGCGGGGAGCCACGGCGGGCCGCCUCUACUCCCCAUCACUCCCAGCCGAGGGUCUCGGCCCUCACUUGGCGUCCUCUCCCCGGGGUCCGCCCCCCAGGGCCACCCGGCCACCGCCUCCUGGACCCCUUUGCUCGUCCUUCUCCACACCCAGCACCCCGCAGGAGAAGUCACCAUCCGGCAGCUUUCACUUUGACUAUGAGGUUCCCCUGGGUCGCAGCGGCCUCAAGAAGAGCAUGGCCUGGGACCUGCCUUCUGUCCUGGCCGGGCCAGCCAGUAGCCGAAGCGCUUCCAGCAUCCUCUGUUCAUCCGGGGGAGGCCCCAAUGGCAUCUUCGCUUCUCCUAGGAGGUGGCUCCAGCAGAGGAAGUUCCAGUCCCCACCCGACAGUCGCGGGCACCCCUACGUCGUGUGGAAAUCCGAGGGUGAUUUCACCUGGAACAGCAUGUCAGGCCGCAGUGUACGGCUGAGGUCAGUCCCCAUCCAGAGUCUCUCAGAGCUGGAGAGGGCCCGGCUGCAGGAAGUGGCUUUUUAUCAGUUGCAACAGGACUGUGACCUGAGCUGUCAGAUCACCAUUCCCAAAGAUGGACAAAAGAGAAAGAAAUCUUUAAGAAAGAAACUGGAUUCACUAGGAAAGGAGAAAAACAAAGACAAAGAAUUCAUCCCACAGGCAUUUGGAAUGCCCUUAUCCCAAGUCAUUGCGAAUGACAGGGCCUAUAAACUCAAGCAGGACUUGCAGAGGGACGAGCAGAAAGAUGCAUCUGACUUUGUGGCUUCCCUCCUCCCAUUUGGAAAUAAAAGACAAAACAAAGAACUCUCAAGCAGUAACUCAUCUCUCAGCUCAACCUCAGAAACACCGAAUGAGUCAACGUCCCCAAACACCCCGGAACCGGCUCCUCGGGCUAGGAGGAGGGGUGCCAUGUCAGUGGAUUCUAUCACCGAUCUUGAUGACAAUCAGUCUCGACUACUAGAAGCUUUACAACUUUCCUUGCCUGCUGAGGCUCAAAGUAAAAAGGAAAAAGCCAGAGAUAAGAAACUCAGUCUGAAUCCUAUUUACAGACAGGUCCCUAGGCUGGUGGACAGCUGCUGUCAGCACCUAGAAAAACAUGGCCUCCAGACAGUGGGGAUAUUCCGAGUUGGAAGCUCAAAAAAGAGAGUGAGACAAUUACGUGAGGAAUUUGACCGUGGGAUUGAUGUCUCUCUGGAGGAGGAGCACAGUGUUCAUGAUGUGGCAGCCUUGCUGAAAGAGUUCCUGAGGGACAUGCCGGACCCCCUUCUUACCAGGGAGCUGUACACAGCUUUCAUCAACACUCUCUUGUUGGAGCCGGAGGAACAGCUGGGCACCUUGCAGCUCCUCAUAUACCUUCUACCUCCCUGCAACUGCGACACCCUCCACCGCCUCCUACAGUUCCUCUCCAUCGUGGCCAGGCAUGCUGAUGACAACAUCAGCAAAGAUGGGCAAGAGGUCACUGGGAAUAAAAUGACAUCUCUAAACUUAGCCACCAUAUUUGGACCCAACCUGCUGCACAAGCAGAAGUCAUCAGACAAAGAAUUCUCAGUCCAGAGUUCAGCCCGGGCUGAGGAGAGCACGGCCAUCAUCGCUGUUGUGCAAAAGAUGAUUGAAAAUUAUGAAGCCCUGUUCAUGGUUCCCCCAGAUCUCCAGAACGAAGUGCUGAUCAGCCUGUUAGAGACCGAUCCUGAUGUCGUGGACUAUUUACUCAGAAGAAAGGCUUCCCAAUCAUCAACAAGUUCUGUGCUUCCGGCUGCAGUGCAGGCCUGCCCACAGUACCCUGCCAGCAUGUUUACACCCUGACCUGGAGGGACCAGCUAAGGAUGUUGUCAGGGCCAGUUUUGAGGAGGGUAGAAAAUAAAGAUGUUUCCAGCCCUGACAUGCUGCAGUCGGAAGUUUCCUUUUCCGUCGGAGGGAGGCAUUCAUCUACAGACUCCAACAAGGCCUCCAGCGGAGACAUCUCCCCUUAUGACAACAACUCCCCAGUGCUGUCUGAGCGCUCCCUGCUGGCUAUGCAAGAGGACGCGGCCCCGGGGGGCUCGGAGAAGCUUUACAAAGUGCCAGGGCAGUUUAUGCUGGUGGGCCACUUGUCGUCGUCAAAGUCAAGGGAAAGUUCUCCUGGACCAAGGCUUGGGAAAGGUAACUGGAGCCUGGCCAGCGGGCGCUGGCCAAAACAAGUGACCCUCCUCUUGUUGCAUGUGGCAUGGUGUGGGGCUCUUCGGACCUUCUCUUCGUCUCUCCCUUAUUUGAUGUUUCUGUAAUUCAACCUGCAUUUACCGAGUACCUGCUGAACGCCUACUCUAGGAAGAGGAAGGUGUGGCGAGCCCAGUCGUUGGCUGGGAGGGUCCCUGCAGGCCACGCUCCAUUUCUCAGAUAUCUGGGAAAUAAACGCAUGCCCAGAGGAGCCACUCCUAUUCCCAACUGAUUCUUUUUCCCUCCAGCAUCCUAGGAACUUUAUGUAUACUGGAUUUGGGUUGCAUAUUUGCUAGUCUGAGGUACCACCCAAUUACUGCUGUUACAUUUCUAAAGAAAGCAAGCUGAACCUACUAUAUGUAUGAAGACAACCUUCCAGAACCAAAUAGUGUUAGUAUCCAAUGACAAGAGAGCACUAGACUGGGAGUCACAAACCUGCUCUGCCACUUUCAACCUGCAGGAUCUCCAGUGAGCGAUUGAGCUUCCCAGAGUCCCAUUUCCUCCUGCUGUGAAAACUCAGAAUAAUAACAGUAUUUAAUUCAUUGAGUUUAAUGAACUAAUCCAUGUAAAGCCCUCAACGCAGCACUUCAAAUGUAAUAUGCACUCGAUAAUACUUGCUGUGUAAUCUUGUGUGCAUUUCUUACCUGCUCCUUACGCUAGUUGCAUCGUCUGUAAAAUGAUCUCCUGGGAACCUCCUAGGGAUGAAGUGAGAUAACGCAUGUGAACUGCUGAACACGUGGAGGCACCCAGUAGACGUCUGCUGCUAUAAAUCGUAAUUAUAAUCCCAUCAUGGGAUUGUAGUGAGGAUUAAAUGAGAUGGUGAAAAAGCCUAAUGUAGUGCCUUACUCCAUAAAUAUUGAUGGAUAAGCUAAGGGGAUUUAUGAGUGAAUGCAUGCAUGAAGAAAUCCAGUGAUACCAAUAGCAAAGUAUUCCUGAGGGUAGUACAGAAACUCUAUUGUUCCUCUAGUUCUGUGUUAAAAUGGUUAGCACCUAUAAAGCUGUUGUCACCCAUCACCCUUCUAUUCAUUUCGUAUAACAUGCAAACUUAUUACUUUAUGGUUCUGGAGGUGAGAAGUCUAAAAUGGGUCCACAGGGCCUCUUUCCCUUCUGGACGUCCUAGGGCACAAUCGUUUUCUUGCCUUUUCUAGCUUCUAGAAGCUGCUUCAUUCCUUGGCUUGAGGCCCCUUCCUCCAUCUUUUAAGCCAACAAUCUAGCAGCAUCUUCUCUCCUACCCCUCUCUCAUAAGGACCCUUGUAAUUAUAUUGGUCCCAUCCAGAUAAUCCAGGAAAAUCUCCCCAUCUCAAGAACCAUAAUUUAAUCACACCUGCAAAGCCCUUUUUGAAAAUAACAUCUUUGUAGAUUUGUGGAAUUAUGACACAGAUAUCUUUGGGGGGCCCUUAUUCUGUCUACCACGAGCAUGAUAUAGAAAGGGCCUUUUUGUAAAUCCCAAGUAGAAUGAACAUGCUGAAAGGUGGAUCUGAAUUGUAUUCUGUUUUGUAUACAACAGGAUCUUGAAUACAAUACUUUGCACAGAAGAGAUGUUAUUAAAAUGUUCAUUGAUUUUUAAUUUUCCUUUUGUGUUAUAUACCUUUUUAUACACUUUUUCCCUAGAUCUGUCAGAGGAGCCUUUCAAUAUCUGGGGAACUUGGCAUUCAACAUUAAAAAGUGGAUCCAAAGACCCAGGAAUGACAGGUUCCUCUGGAGACAUUUUUGAAAGCAGCUCCCUAAGAGCGGGGCCCUGCUCCCUUUCUCAAGGGAACCUGUCCCCAAAUUGGCCUCGGUGGCAGGGGAGCCCCGCAGAGCUGGACAGCGACACACAGGUGGCUCGGAGGACUCAGGCCGCAGCCCUCGCGACAGAGGGCCGGGCCCACCCUGCGGUGUUGCGCGCCUGCAGCACGCCCCACGUCCAGAUGGCAGGAAAAGCCGAGCGGCCCACGGCCAGGUCAGAGCAGUACUUGACCCUGAGCGGCGCCCACGACCUCAGCGGGAGUGAGCUGGAUGUGGCCGGGCUGCAGAGCCGGGCCACACCUCAGUGCCAAAGACCCCAUGGGAGUGGGAGGGAUGACAAGCGGCCCCCUCCUCCAUACCCGGGCCCGGGGAAGCCCGCGGCAGCGGCGGCCCGGAUCCAGGGGCCCCCGGAAGGCGUGGGUACAGCCACGGACCAGGGAGGCCAAGCAGCCGAGCGAGAGCAGCAGGUCACGCAGAAAAAACUGAGCAGCGCCAACUCCCUGCCAGCAGGCGAGCAGGACAGUCCACGCCUGGGGGACGCUGGCUGGCUCGACUGGCAGAGAGAGCGCUGGCAGAUCUGGGAGCUCCUGUCGACUGACAACCCCGAUGCCCUGCCCGAGACGCUGGUCUGAGCCCGCACCCAGCCGAGCCCCCCCUUCCCCGAGCCCCCCGCCCUCCAGCCCAGGGGGGACCGUGGGUGGUGGCCACUGGCACACUUAGUGUUCUUCUUUCACACUUCUCAAAAGCGACACAAGAGAAAUCCAGUUCACCUACAGAGGUAGAGCACUCACACCCCCGCCAUUGAGAAUAAGGUUCCAUUGCGUAGCCAGCCUUAGGAAAAACAAACAGAACCCAAACCAGAUGGCAAUGUCCAAUAUAAAAACGUCUCUCUUGGCUCUAUAAGAUACAACUCUUGCUUUGGUAUAGCCUAACCGUAUUUAUGUGUCUUCAGUUUUGACUAUUGUAUAUUCUGUAACAGAUUAUGUAUAAUCAUAUAUGAUAUAUUCACAAAGAGAAAACAAAAGGAACAUUUAAAAAAAAUCACUUCACUUAUAUUAAGCAAUGAGAUAUACUAAACAAUGAGAUUCUAUAGAAUGUUCUAGAAUGUGCACAAGCGGGUUUCUGUGCUUUUGCCAUAGCUUUAUAACUGGGGAUAACCCUUCCUUCGAUACCAAACACUAACAAGAGGAAACAGAAUAUGAGAAGCCAUAUUUUUACAUAGGAGUCAGAUAGAAAAAUCACUGAAUGCUUUUAGAUAUUGAAUACGUUUUCAGGAAAAUGCUAAAUCUGAUGGAUUACGAAAUAUAUUUUUAGAACUUGUUUAGAAAGGAUUCAGUUAACCAAACAAGAAAAAGGCAGUGCCUCACAAAGAAAUUAAGAAGUUGUCCGUCCCACGUUACAUCAAAUUCAGUUUUAUAUAGGCCAUAUAUAAUAUAUAUUUAUAAUGUAUAAUUUUUAUGUAUUUUUCAAAACUACAAACUGGAAUCCAACUAUAAAGUGUUUAAGAAUCUACAUAGAAUAUUCAAAUUAUAGCACGUUUUUCCCUUUGCCCCAUAAUCAGUAUUUGCCAAAUUACAUGCAAUUCUUUAAAAACUAAAUCACAUUUGGUAAAAGGCCUACAGCUUUGUACUUACAUUGUGCCAAAGGCUGAGGAAAUGUUUUCUUUCGUAAUUUUAUAUGUAUUGUAAAAUGUUCUACCGUACUUUAGUAGUUUGAAGUUUUUCAAGUGCAUAACUAUUUUUGACCAGCAGAUGGCGAUACGCUUCAGUAUUUUAUGCAAUUUUUUUUUCACUUCUGAAGGGAAAGUGUAUUAUUAAAAAAAAUUUUUUUUUUUUUUUAUAAAACAUGCUACUCUUAAUUUUCAUGUUGGUGAUGAAAUUUCCAGUGGUGUUUCUUAAGGUUCUAUCUUGUGCCAUGAUGAAUAAAAAGUUAAGC
rnacentral:sRNA from 1 species